rnacentral:misc_RNA from 1 species
AAGUCGUAACAAGGUUUCCGUAGGUGAACCUGCGGAAGGAUCAUUAUCGAGUGCCGGGCGCGAGCCCGUACCCGCAACCCAUGUCGACUCUCCCCGUUGCUUCGGCGCGCCCGCUCCGGCGGCCGCCGGAGGACCCCCCCAAACGCAUGGCAAACCGGUCCGUCCGAGGCUUAUUGCGAAUCAGUCAAAACUUUCAACAACGGAUCUCUUGGUUCGG